AAAAUAAGGUAGCUGAAAUAAAAGUAUUUGCUUAAUACCAUAAAUUUUUAAUUAUGUAUUCUGAAUUCUUUCUGAUUAUGGCUAUGUUUCAGGACAGAUGACCUUCCAAAACACACUGUCUAUCUGGCCUGCUAACUGCUUGAAGUUCAGUUUUUGAGGAACACUUCCAUAAGGCGUGCCUGACUGAACCUGCAAGGUGUCUGUAGGAUACCAACCUGUGCUGAGCAGAUGGGAGAGGACCGAUGGACAUGAUUGGGUUGGUGAGGAUGUCAUGAUUACCAUCACUACAGUGUUUCAGAGGACAGCAAGGCUGUGUCCCCUUAGAGCAGACAGGGAAAACUAAGCAGUUCCAGCACGAUUCAUCUCAUCCUAAGGA
rnacentral:lncRNA from 1 species